GCAGCGGGGAGGGCAGGUGGUGGUUGCCCGCUGCACUGUCAUGGCAGCGCUGCUGGCGGCGGCUCGGAGGGGUUGGGAGUGCCCCAGAGACCGGCAGGAUCCUCGAGGGGCGCUGGCCACACAGCCCACGGGGCGUUCGGUGGAGGCUAAGGGGCUGGUUGUGCACCCAGUUCUCAUUUUUCAAAACUUCCCGUUGUUAAAAACUUAAAAAUUUCCGGUUAAAAGGUAUUUACUCAGCCUCAGUCCGAUCAUAGAAAAAGUUAAGCAUUUUAAGAUGUCAUGAAUCCUGAGCCAUUUAGCUGUAUCUGUGACUUGUUUGUAGAGCCCACAUCACACAGAAUAAUCCCAUCAGCAAUGAGUCAGGACAUCUACUCUGCUGGACUUAAUGCCACCCACCUGGAGCCAUCAGCAGAAGAAAUUGAGUGGAAGUAGAUAGAAUCUCAUUUUAUAUAUGGUUUACUGGAUGGAAAGCAUACAGCUCCAACACAUACCACCUGACAGAGAAAAUUUUUGCUACAGGGUCUGCACAGUGUGCUGCUUUCUGCUCAGAGGCCGAUUUGAUGCUGCUCAGCUUGGGAUUCCUGGCAUCUGAAGGGAGCAAUAUCAGAAAGACAGCUUCUAUCUGACAAUUCUAUCACUGGCUGCGUCUUUUCAAGUUGGUGUUCCGGAGAGGAUCACCCUGUAAAACAAAAUGAAGAGACCUAUCAGGGCCAUUCGGUUGCUGUAGUUUGGCUUUAAGAUAAGUCAAGGUUGCCUCUCUCUAUUAAUUAAAU